rnacentral:lncRNA from 1 species
UGUUUGUGGGUAUCAUCACUGCAAACCCUCAUGAGACAACACUCGUCCACUAGGGUAACCUAGGGGUUUAACGGCUUGUUGCACAUGCUAAGUGCAAUCGUAAUGCUCUACGAAAGUGAGUAUUUAUUUUAAUUCAUGCAUAUUGAUAUAUAUUAAUAAAAUAAAUAAUACUUUUGCACCCUCAUUUUAUCAUUUUCACACUAAAUUGCUAGAGACUAGCAAUAAGCUAGUUGGGGGGUGUGAUGAGAGUACAAAAGUGAAAUUUUUGUAUUAUCUUAAUUAGUAUUAUAGCUAAUCUUUAUUAAUAAAAUUAAUUAAUUAAUGUUUUAU